rnacentral:rRNA from 1 species
UACGGGGGGGGCAAGCGUUGUUCGGAAUUACUGGGCGUAAAGGGCUCGUAGGCGGCCAACUAAGUCAGACGUGAAAUCCCUCGGCUUAACCGGGGAACUGCAUCUGAUACUGGAUGGCUUGAGUUCGGGAGAGGGAUGUGGAAUUCCAGGUGUAGCGGUGAAAUGCGUAGAUAUCUGGAGGAACACCGGUGGCGAAGGCAGAUCUCUGGGCCGUAACUGACGCUGAGGAGCGAAAGCAUGGGGAGCGAACAGG